rnacentral:rRNA from 1 species
AAUCUGGGGUCUCCGGCCUCCGAGUUGUAAUUUGGAGAGGCAUCUCCAGGGGGGAGCGCCGGCCCAUGUUCCUUGGAACAGGACGUCACAGAGGGUGAGAAUCCCGUGCCCGGCCGGCCGACUCCUCCCGCUUUGGAGGGCCUUCGACGAGUCGAGUUGUUUGGGAAUGCAGCUCCAAGUGGGUGGUAAAUUUCAUCUAAGGCUAAAUACCGGCGGGAGACCGAUAGCGCACAAGUAGAGUGAUCGAAAGAUGAAAAGCACUUUGAAAAUAGAGUCAAAAAGUACGUGAAAUUGUUGAAAGGGAAGCGCUUGAGACCAGACUCGGGCCCGGGCAAACAUCGCGCCCCUCGGGGCCGUGCAAUUGUCCGGGGCUUGGCCAGCAUCAGUUGGCGUGGCGGGACAAAGGCACGGGGAAUGUGGCUCCCCUCGGGGAGUGUUUUUAGCCCCGUGCUCAAUGCCGCCGACGUCGACUGAGGACCGCGCCACGGCUAGGAUGCUGGCUUAAUGGCCUUCAGCGACCCGUCUUGAAACACGGA